rnacentral:rRNA from 1 species
UUAAGCGACUAAGCGUACACGGUGGAUGCCCUGGCAGUCAGAGGCGAUGAAGGACGUGCUAAUCUGCGAUAAGCGUCGGUGAGGUGAUAUGAACCGUUAUAACCGGCGAUUUCCGAAUGGGGAAACCCAGUGUGUUUCGACACACUAUCAUUAACUGAAUCCAUAGGUUAAUGAGGCGAACCGGGGGAACUGAAACAUCUAAGUACCCCGAGGAAAAGAAAUCAACCGAGAUUCCCCCAGUAGCGGCGAGCGAACGGGGAGGAGCCCAGAGCCUGAAUCAGUGUGUGUGUUAGUGGAAGCGUCUGGAAAGGCGCGCGAUACAGGGUGACAGCCCCGUACACAAAAAUGCACAUAUUGUGAGCUCGAUGAGUAGGGCGGGACACGUGGUAUCCUGUCUGAAUAUGGGGGGACCAUCCUCCAAGGCUAAAUACUCCUGACUGACCGAUAGUGAACCAGUACCGUGAGGGAAAGGCGAAAAGAACCCCGGCGAGGGGAGUGAAAAAGAACCUGAAACCGUGUACGUACAAGCAGUGGGAGCCUCUUAAUGGGGUGACUGCGUACCUUUUGUAUAAUGGGUCAGCGACUUAUAUUCUGUAGCAAGGUUAACCGAAUAGGGGAGCCGAAGGGAAACCGAGUCUUAACUGGGCGUUAAGUUGCAGGGUAUAGACCCGAAACCCGGUGAUCUAGCCAUGGGCAGGUUGAAGGUUGGGUAACACUAACUGGAGGACCGAACCGACUAAUGUUGAAAAAUUAGCGGAUGACUUGUGGCUGGGGGUGAAAGGCCAAUCAAACCGGGAGAUAGCUGGUUCUCCCCGAAAGCUAUUUAGGUAGCGCCUCGUGAAUUCAUCUCCGGGGGUAGAGCACUGUUUCGGCAAGGGGGUCAUCCCGACUUACCAACCCGAUGCAAACUGCGAAUACCGGAGAAUGUUAUCACGGGAGACACACGGCGGGUGCUAACGUCCGUCGUGAAGAGGGAAACAACCCAGACCGCCAGCUAAGGUCCCAAAGUCAUGGUUAAGUGGGAAACGAUGUGGGAAGGCCCAGACAGCCAGGAUGUUGGCUUAGAAGCAGCCAUCAUUUAAAGAAAGCGUAAUAGCUCACUGGUCGAGUCGGCCUGCGCGGAAGAUGUAACGGGGCUAAACCAUGCACCGAAGCUGCGGCAGCGACGCUUAUGCGUUGUUGGGUAGGGGAGCGUUCUGUAAGCCUGUGAAGGUGGCCUGUGAGGGUUGCUGGAGGUAUCAGAAGUGCGAAUGCUGACAUAAGUAACGAUAAAGCGGGUGAAAAGCCCGCUCGCCGGAAGACCAAGGGUUCCUGUCCAACGUUAAUCGGGGCAGGGUGAGUCGACCCCUAAGGCGAGGCCGAAAGGCGUAGUCGAUGGGAAACAGGUUAAUAUUCCUGUACUUGGUGUUACUGCGAAGGGGGGACGGAGAAGGCUAUGUUGGCCGGGCGACGGUUGUCCCGGUUUAAGCGUGUAGGCUGGUUUUCCAGGCAAAUCCGGAAAACCAAGGCUGAGGCGUGAUGACGAGGCACUACGGUGCUGAAGCGACAAAUGCCCUGCUUCCAGGAAAAGCCUCUAAGCAUCAGGUAACAUCAAAUCGUACCCCAAACCGACACAGGUGGUCAGGUAGAGAAUACCAAGGCGCUUGAGAGAACUCGGGUGAAGGAACUAGGCAAAAUGGUGCCGUAACUUCGGGAGAAGGCACGCUGAUAUGUAGGUGAAGCGACUUGCUCGUGGAGCUGAAAUCAGUCGAAGAUACCAGCUGGCUGCAACUGUUUAUUAAAAACACAGCACUGUGCAAACACGAAAGUGGACGUAUACGGUGUGACGCCUGCCCGGUGCCGGAAGGUUAAUUGAUGGGGUUAGCGGUAACGCGAAGCUCUUGAUCGAAGCCCCGGUAAACGGCGGCCGUAACUAUAACGGUCCUAAGGUAGCGAAAUUCCUUGUCGGGUAAGUUCCGACCUGCACGAAUGGCGUAAUGAUGGCCAGGCUGUCUCCACCCGAGACUCAGUGAAAUUGAACUCGCUGUGAAGAUGCAGUGUACCCGCGGCAAGACGGAAAGACCCCGUGAACCUUUACUAUAGCUUGACACUGAACAUUGAGCCUUGAUGUGUAGGAUAGGUGGGAGGCUUUGAAGUGUGGACGCCAGUCUGCAUGGAGCCGACCUUGAAAUACCACCCUUUAAUGUUUGAUGUUCUAACGUUGGCCCGUAAUCCGGGUUGCGGACAGUGUCUGGUGGGUAGUUUGACUGGGGCGGUCUCCUCCUAAAGAGUAACGGAGGAGCACGAAGGUUGGCUAAUCCUGGUCGGACAUCAGGAGGUUAGUGCAAUGGCAUAAGCCAGCUUGACUGCGAGCGUGACGGCGCGAGCAGGUGCGAAAGCAGGUCAUAGUGAUCCGGUGGUUCUGAAUGGAAGGGCCAUCGCUCAACGGAUAAAAGGUACUCCGGGGAUAACAGGCUGAUACCGCCCAAGAGUUCAUAUCGACGGCGGUGUUUGGCACCUCGAUGUCGGCUCAUCACAUCCUGGGGCUGAAGUAGGUCCCAAGGGUAUGGCUGUUCGCCAUUUAAAGUGGUACGCGAGCUGGGUUUAGAACGUCGUGAGACAGUUCGGUCCCUAUCUGCCGUGGGCGCUGGAGAACUGAGGGGGGCUGCUCCUAGUACGAGAGGACCGGAGUGGACGCAUCACUGGUGUUCGGGUUGUCAUGCCAAUGGCACUGCCCGGUAGCUAAAUGCGGAAGAGAUAAGUGCUGAAAGCAUCUAAGCACGAAACUUGCCCCGAGAUGAGUUCUCCCUGAGACUUAGAGUCUCCUGAAGGAACGUUGAAGACGACGACGUUGAUAGGCCGGGUGUGUAAGCGCAGCGAUGCGUUGAGCUAACCGGUACUAAUGAACCGUGAGGCUUAACCU